rnacentral:rRNA from 1 species
CGCGGCCUAUCAGCUUGUUGGUGGGGUAAUGGCCUACCAAGGCGACGACGGGUAGCCGGCCUGAGAGGGUGACCGGCCACACUGGGACUGAGACACGGCCCAGACUCCUACGGGAGGCAGCAGUGGGGAAUAUUGCACAAUGGGCGCAAGCCUGAUGCAGCGACGCCGCGUGAGGGAUAACGGCCUUCGGGUUGUAAACCUCUUUCAGUAGGGAAGAAGCCGUGAGGUGACGGUACCUGCAGAAGAAGCGCCGGCUAACUACGUGCCAGCAGCCGCGGUAAUACGUAGGGCGCAAGCGUUAUCCGGAAUUAUUGGGCGUAAAGAGCUCGUAGGCGGUUUGUCGCGUCUGCUGUGAAAAGCUGGGGCUUAACCCUGGCCUUGCAGUGGAUACGGGCAGACUAGAGGUAGGUAGGGGAGAAUGGAAUUCCCGGUGUAGCGGUGAAAUGCGCAGAUAUCGGGAGGAACACCGGUGGCGAAGGCGGUUCUCUGGGCCUCACCUGACGCUGAGGAGCGAAAGCGUGGGGAGCGAACAGGAUUAGAUACCCUGGUAGUCCACGCCGUAAACGGUGGGUACUAGGUGUGGGUUUCCUUCCUUGGGAUCUGUGCCGUAGCUAACGCAUUAAGUACCCCGCCUGGGAGUACG